UACGUAGGUGGCAAGCGUUGUCCGGAUUUAUUGGGUUUAAAGGGUGCGUAGGCGGUCAAGUAAGUCAGCGGUGAAAUCCGGCAGCUCAACUGUCGAUGUGCCAUUGAUACUGCAUGACUUGGGUACUGAUGAGGUAGGCGGAAUUGACGGUGUAGCGGUGAAAUGCUUAGAUAUCGUCAAGAACACCGAUAGCGAAGGCAGCUUACUAAGCAGUAACUGACGCUGAUGCACGAAAGUGUGGGGAUCAAACAGG
rnacentral:rRNA from 1 species